AAGGGGGAAAAGCCCUUGAGAAAACCAUCAAGUCUUAAGACGGGUUGAAGAUCCGAGAGGCUGAGUCACUUCCACAAAGUAACACAGCUGAUUUUAAAUGCCUGCAUUCAGCAUCCCUGCAGCAGGCUCCAGGUGGAAUUCUAAUGGGACCAGCCUCCAGUCCCUGGACCUUAGCCGUGGAAGGAGAGAAGAGGACAUCUGCACCUCCUCUCAGAGAAAGCCUGAUGCCUACUAAAGGACUUGGGUGGUGGACGCAGUGACCCUCAGUCUGGAGCUUGUUCACUGAACAUUGGAGACUAUCAUUUGCGCAGAUGGUCUUGGGCCUCUAUGAGCAGCAGGCUGCACCCCACAGUGACCUCCUCAUUCUACUCUGAGGCAUCUUCAUGAAAGCAGAUGUCCAUUGAAAAGCACCCAAGUGCAGUCUCAGCUGAUGAACUUCAGAGGCGAUUGAGACAAAGGCUCUCGGUCCCCUCUGCCCUUGGAUGGUGCCUCUGGUAUGCACUUGGCCUCUGUGUCUUUAUUUAGACUGGUCACUUCACAACCCAUCAUGUCACCCCACCCCUAACCGUGCCCACUCUGGGUCCUCCCCUCAACUGCCUGACUUCCCACUUUGAGCUCAGCAAAGGCAAUAGAUGUUUUGUCUGCUUCGAUACCCUAAAUGCAUGGCGUGGAAGCUGGCACACAGUGGGCCCUUGAAAUUUGGGAGUGAAUAUGUAUAUAUAUUAUAUUCCAACCUCAACUUUCCUCACUGCUCCUCAUAGUAGGAAUGGAUUGUAAAACUUCCCAGAAUGUUCAAGAGGAGAAAGGAGAGAAAACAGCCUGGAAUUUGAGCUAAGGGGCCCACAGCCCAGCCACCAAGCCAUCUGUAAAAUGGGGUGGGAAUAUGACAUGAGCCACAGGGGUGCUAUGAGGGUUAAUGAGGUCACCGUGCGAUGUACCAUGCCAACAUGAAUAACCAGACCUCUUGAUAUCAUCAUUUUUGCAUUGCCUGGAAAGUGCCUGAUACACACUACAUACUCAACAAGUGUGAUGGGGUGUCCAGAGGAAACUGGUCUAUAGAAUAAUUUUUAUACCAGGCUAUACUUUCCUUUCAAAGUUCAAAGCUGUGUUUGCAUUCUGGAAUGGAGUCCUUGCUCCAGGAGGGAAGCCUUGUGUAUUAGGGUUCUCUAGAGAGACA
rnacentral:lncRNA from 10 species